CAUUUUUAAGACCUCCAUUGCAGCAGUUGCCUGAUCUCAAGGCACUGCAUUCUCUACAUCUUGACAUGAUAUCAAAACACUCUCGAUCCUGAGGUGAUUCUCUCUUGAUUCGCAUUACUUUGCUUUCAAUUGGUUAGUCAUUCUAUCCCUUUUUCCAAUUUUUUUACUUUGUUCUACCUUUGUUGUUAUUGUUCCUUUUGAUUUUAUAUUGUUGUUUCAUUAUGGCGAUUGUGAGGAUAGUAGUUCAUCAAGUGCCUCUAAUUCUUCUCCAAUUGACUCAAAUAACCCAUUGUAUAUGCAUCCCUCUAAUAAUCUUGGAGCUGCAUUGGUACCCAUUCUUUUUGUCUGCAUUGGUUAUCGCUCAUGGAGGAGAAGCAUAUUUUAAUCAUUAUCGGUGAAAAAUAAAUUGGGAUUCAUCACUAGGGAGUGCGCAAAACCUAAUCUCAAUCACCCUAUAUACAGGUUGUGGGUGCGAUGUGAUGAUAUUGUUACUUCAUAUAUUUUGAAUUCUUUGUUGAGAGAAAUUGUAGACAGUGUUGAAUAUGUUACGGACUCAGUAAAACUUUGGCGAGAAUUAGAAGAUAGAUAUGAGCAGGCUAAUCAUGCGAAAUUAUACUAAAUACAAAAGAAAAUUAAUGAUUUGUCUUAAUGAUCCUUGACAUUACUAGUUAUUAUACAAAAUUGAAGAAACUUUGGGAGGAACUUAGUACUCUGAGUGCAAAGGCUCAAUGUACCUGUAAUUAUAUUUGUAGAGCCAAGGCUAAUAUUCACAAAGAAGAGCAAGAUAGAAGGUUGAUUCAGUUUUUGAUGGGUUUAAAUGAGGUGAUACAGUGAUUCAUGGUAGCAUAUGCCAGCUGGAUGGCAGCCAGAUGGCAGCUAGAUGGGAUCUCAAUAUCUUCCUUGUUAGAUAAUAAAACAAAAGAAGUCCAAAAAAUGAAAAAAUUAAAAUGGACAAUACAUAUUCAUCAAUCAUCGCCAUCUUUCUUUUAACAAAAUUAUGUUUUGAAAUAAAUUGAGAGAAGUGCGAAUAUUUGUUUGGUGUUGGUUGAGUUUGAUUGAGAAUUUUCACCAAAAAUGGAUCUUUAAUAGGGAAAAUUUAGGAACCACAUUAUUCGAAUACAUGGACUAUUUUUUUCUUCAAUAUCCCCCAAACAGGAUGGGUGUUUCAUUUAUUGAGUAAUAGUAUUACAAGAGUGAGGUAGUGUCGUAACACAAAAGAGAGGCUUCGUAGUUCAUUCCAUUGCCAAUAUAGUUUUCAUAAGUUGUGAAAGACGAGCAACAUUCUGAGAAUGUUUUAGUAUGCUUUUAAUUUGGAUAAAAAAGAAGACUUGCAUGAAGUAGCUUUUGAAAUUUCAAGUUCAGAUAAAGGUGAGGUAAUGACAUUUUAUAGUGGCUAGCAAAAUGAGGAGCAAUUUAAUUCUAACAUGGGUUGUUCGUUAGUUGCAUCAUCACCGUAAAGGUGGUGUAUAUAUUCCAUCGCAUAGAAAUAUAAAUUAUCACAAUUGCUAUUAAACUAAAGAAUUAUAAUUGAUUGAAGAAAUACAUAAAUGGUCAAGUAAACUAUUGAAGUACUUGAAUAUUGAAAAAGGCAUCCCUCUGAUAAUCCUGGAGCUGCAUUGGUACCCAUUCCUUUUGUCGGCAUUGGUUAUCACUCAUGGAGGAGAAGCAUUUUUUUUCUCAUUAUCAGUGAAAAAUCUCAUUAUCAGUGAAAAAUAAAUUGGGAUUCAUCACUGGAGAGUGCGCAAAACCUAAUCUUGAUCACCCUAUAUACAGGUUAUGGGUGCGAUGUGAAGAUAUUGUUACUUCAUGGAUUUUGACUUUUUUGUCGAGGAAAAUUACAUAUAGUGUUGAAUAUGUUAUAGACUCUGAGAAACUUUGACUAUAAUUAGAAGUAGAUAUGAGCAGGCUAAUGGUGCGAAAUUAUACCAAAUACAAAAGGAAAUUAAUGAUGUGUCUCAAGGAUCUCUUGACAUUACUGGUUAUUACACAAAACUGAAGAAACUUUGGGAGGAACUUAGUACUCUAGUUUAAAGGCUCUAUGUACCUGUAAUUGUAUUUGUGGAACCAAGGCUAAUAUUCACAAAGCAGAGCAAGAUAGGAGGUUAAUUUAGUUUUUGAUGGAUUUAAAUGAGGUGUAUACAGUGAUACGUGGUAGCAUAUUAAUGAUGAAUCACUUGCCCUCCAUGGCAGAAACUUUUUCCCUUCUAGUGCAAGAUGAGCAACAAAGGGAAAUCACGUCAUUUAGUCAUCUCAGCAUCGAGGCCACUGCUUUACAUACUAGCAGCAGUAGGUCUCCAUCUUACAAGACUAGCUACUCCAUAUCCAAUUAAUCUGGUCCUAUUCCAUACAAAUAAAAAUUCUAUGACUAUUGCAAGAGGACUAGUCAUUUCAAGGAAAAAUAUUUCCUGCUCUAUGGUUUUUCUUCUGGAUCCAGCAACACUGCACAAGCUCAGCAAUAAAAUUCCAAUCAGAACUUCAAUAGACAACAAUAUCUUAUUCAGAGGAACAACAAUUUUCAUAACUCCAAACCAAGACACAGUAAUUCUCGAGGAUCUUCCAACUUCAAUAGGUACAAUAGAGGAAAUAAUAAUAGAACAGUAGCAAAUGCUCACUGUGCAGUGAAAUUAGGAACUGGUGUGGGGAUUCGAGAUGUACAUGCACCCGAGAAAUUGUAUAAUUUGAAUCUCACUAAGGAUCAAUACGGUAGAAUUCAAGAUGUGUUGAAGACCUUCCAGCAAGAGCAUAUUAAUGACAGUUCUGGCCAUUCUGCACUUGUCAGUGGCACAAUUGAUUUUGCAGUUACUUUAGUCUGUACCUCCUCUAUUGAUUUUGGUAAAUUGUCUUAUGAAUGUUUCCAAAACAAAUCUGACUUAUAGAUAUUUAAUUCAGGAUCCUCGAAGCACAUGACCUUUAAUAUUCCACCCCUGCAUAACAUUGUCACUCUUCCUUACCUUCUAUUGGUAAUGUUGCCAAAUAGAUAUAAAGUCAAGGUAACUCAAGUUGGUACUGUGGCACUAGGACCUCUAAUUAUCUUGGAAAAGGUAUUGUUUGUACCAUUCUUCCAAUAUAAUUUGAUAUCCAUUCACACUAUGACACUUCAUUCAGGUUACACUGCCAACUUUAACAAGGACUUUUGUUUCCUGCAGGCCCUUCAAUGAAGAGGCCUCUAGUGAUUGGUAGGGCUGAAGUUGGUCUCUAUUUCUUGUGUCCCAGGUGUCUGCAUACUUCUCAUUCAAAUCCUACAUCAACUGCUUGUUCUAGUUUGUCUUUGUGUUGUCAUUGUAACAAAUAAUAUUCCUCUUCUACUCUAGCUACUGAUUUACUUUUACAAAAACAGCACUGUACUUUGUUUUCAACUAAGCAGACAUCUUAUUUAGAUAAACCUGCUUCUACUAUAAAUGUUUCAUGUGUUCACGCCUCCUCCAAUUUGAAUGUUUUCACUAAGAACAAUGUGAAUGUUUUGUGGCAUAAUAUAUUAGGACAUGUCCCUUUUAUCAAAAUAAAGAUUAUUUCAAGCAUUCCAGUCACCUUCUCAUCAAAACAACCUUUCAUGUGUUCUGUGUGUCCCAUGUCCAGGCAAGAAAGGUUGCCCUUCAAGCAAAGAACUACUUUGACCUCACAUGUUUUUGAACUAGUACAUGUGUCACGACUCGAUUAGAGGCCCUGGCCAUGAUGAGCAUUCCGAACUACAAAGGCCGGGGCACCCCUUUCUAUCUAGCGAUCAUGCACAAUGCUCAUACAAUAAGAAGAAAAUGCGAAAAGAUCAUAAUACGGAAUCAUGGUCGACAUUAUAAUCAAACUAACCCAUUUCAAAUGAAAUUCAUAACUCUCCAACAACAUCUAACAUUUAGUCUAUGAAAUCUCUAAACACAUCAAAACCAACAUCUUGUCUAAACUAGGACAAGGCCCCCAGUCGGGCCUAAAACAAAAAUGAAAUAACAAUGUUCUAAAACAUAGGUCUUCUAAAAUAAGGGAGACUCACCAACUACACACUUCUGUUUAACAAAUCUACGGCUUAGCGGGACCCCUUGACUGAGUCUCAGACCCUGAAAUAUAGGGGGUCAAUAUAAUUGUACUGGUAUGUAGAGCAAUCUAAAAUAAAGUAUUUUUAUACAACAUACGUGAGAAAAGUUUGUAAACAAUUUAUAUGAGAUAUAUGAAAAACACAUGGGCAUAUUUAAAAGACUUUGAAUAAUAAUCUGAAAUUCAUGACUCACUCUUUAUCUUACUUUUGAGCUAGGUGGUUUUAACGCCCCAAAAAUGGGUCCCGAGAUGUCACAUGGUGCUUAGGAUUAUAAGUGACCCCAAGAUAACCCUUCUACUAGCAUAACUCAUAAGCAACUGAAUAAAAAUAGCUAAAUCUGUACAAAAUCAGUGGAAGAUAAUUCUUUUCUGAAAUAUAUUCAAUAAAAAACUGAAUUCACAUGAUUACAACUCUACUUUCACAAAGAAAACUGAAAUUGAAUACAUUAACUCUACUGUCUGUCUAUGAAGCCUCUACUAAUAUUGACUAUAGAUAGCUGGAAAGCUACUCCAACUAUCACUAAUCAAUACAUAUGAAUGAGAAAGUAAAGAAUAUAAAUAAGUAUAACUUAAGUCCUCGAAGUAGGAGGACUCAUCAUCUUAGGCUGGAAUUUGUAACUGUCUGAGUUUGAAUGUGUAUAUUGAAACUUGUACCUACAUUAUGAGACAAUGUAGCACAUAGAAAUAUAUAUAUGGAUCAGUAAUUUGAGGAUGUACUGAGUAUAUGGGGUGAAUGCAUAAGUAAAAAUAUAUCUCAUAGUCGUCAUUUAUAAAACAAUGCAUGCUAAAUGUACAUGACUCACAUAAACUGGAAUAUCUGAAAUACCGAAAUAAGUAGCCAUAAGAAUCAAAACAUGCUUUACAAAUAUCGUGACCCACAAUAUUUGGUUCUAAAAUCUGUAUUCUCUUCUUGUUCUUGUAAUCUUGUAAACUAAAGGAAAUCUGAAAUUUCUUUCUGCAUAAGAAAUACUUUUUCUCAAUUCAUAUAGGCUAAGUGAAAAAGGAGCUCACCUUUGUGCCUGAAAACUAAAGUUGUAACUCUGUAACUGAAAAUCUCAAGUAAUUCAAUAUCUGAAAAAGUUUUGUGAUCCUUUACACUCAAUUCCUAAAAUCAUUAGGGAAAAAACUUAUAUUAAGAAAUAUACUCAAAAGUUGUUAUUUACUUUUACUAUCAGAGAGGUUCUCUUAACCGACAUGAACCAUGUGAGCUGACAUGGAGUCCAACGUCUUCCCCACGCUGGGGAGAGAUGUUCUACCCUUGCCAUCAGAAUAGAACCUUAACUUUAGUGAUCACUAUCUCGGCCUCAGGCCCAUAAAUCUCAAUCCUACAUUGGCACAUAGUUUUGGGGUAUGAGACCUUGGAUUCAUACCCAACUCGGUGCUAAAUACUACUCCCAUACUUAGGCUCAAAACUUUAGGAAAUCCACCUUAAAAUAACUCAAGAGUCUAUAAUAAAGACCAAAUUAUGCUUCUCUUAUCUUAGCUUUUGAAAGUACUUAUCAAAACUUAUCAACAAAACUUAAGAUCAUAAUCUCCUUAUAAACUCAUCACAUGUAAUUAGGACUCAAAAUAUAAAGCUUUAAUGCAUCGAAAUUAUAUUUAAACAUCAUGCUCAACCAUUAUCUUAAAAAUCUUACAAUCAUCUCAAUCAAGAUAUUGGAAAAAUAAGUCAUAAUAUGAAUAUCAUCAUUUCAACAUCUCAAAAUUCAUGCUUGAUAACAAAACAUUCAUAAUCAUCUUAAAAUUUGGAAAAUUCGGAAAUAGGCAUGGAAAUAUUAACAAAAUAAUGUAAUUCAACCUUUAAUCCAUAGGAAAUCUCAAAAUCUUGCAAACAAUAAUAAUGGGUAUAAACCCUAACUUCAAUUUCAUGAAAAAUCUCAUAAUUUGCAGAAAUUUUUAUUUAAAAUAAGCCUUUGGGCACAAGGGUGAAAGAGUUAACCUUGUUCAAGCCCCACAUACCUUGGAUUAUGAAUUUAGAUGAACAAGUUUGCUUGAGACUCUCUUUCGUACUCUUGAGUGAGGGUUCUUGAAGCUUUUGACUUGGGAACCAUGAAUCUUAAUUCAAUUCGUAAAGUAUAUGGUGAAAUCUUGAAGAAAGAAUUGGGUCUUUCUCUUGAGGGUUAAUCAUAAGAGAAAACCCUAGUUCUUGAUGCUUUGGAUCAGUUUGAAGUUCUAUGUUUCGUUUUGAUAUAUCUAGGUGUUAAAAGAGGUGGAAAAGCUCAAAAAUUCCUUUUAAAACGGCUUUAAAUUUGUUGAACGGGAUCUACGACGGCUCAUGUGAUGGUCCGUCGCUGGCCCGAUGGUCCGUCGGCCUGACCGUCGCACUUGGAUCGGAAUAGGUACUCACUGCCUUAGCUGUGAUGGCUUGGGCGAUGGUCUGUCGCUAGCUAAUGGUCCUUCAGCCUGACCGUCGCACUUGGCCAGUGAAAGGGAAUAUUUCCUUAGUUGCGACGGCUUGAGAGACGGUUCGUCGCAAGCUCGAUGGUCCAUCAACCUUCCCGUUUCACCUAGGUAGUUCUGAUAACUCUCAGAAAAAUGGCCAUAACUUCUCAUCCCAAUAUCGGAUUUGGACAAAAUUGGUAUCAUUGGAUAGCUAAUUCAAUUCCCCAUAUGAGAAAAAAUCAAAAUUAGGAAAAAUCUAUCUGAUUUAAACAUUAUUCACAUAGGAAAUCAUCUCUUAAUCUUCUGAAGGCUAAAUUUUGCUUAAAGAAAGUUCUAGGUAUUACAGUGGUAUACCCUACAACUCUAUAAUCCCAUGGGCUAUAUGGAAUCUACCCUUAACUCGGCAGCCAAGCCCUCAAUCCAAUUUUACUGCAAGGGUUGGAGUCUCUAUCUCUGAUACACCAAAGGGCACUAGGCCAACGUACGGUCAUACUUGGGGACAUAAUAAACUCGUAUUGGCAAAAUAUUAUUUUGGGCUAGGAGUUAUCUAAACUCAAGCCUUUUCGGGAAACCACCUAACUCUCUUUAAGCUCAUUUUUAGCUCUUUAAGACAUGCAUUCUCUGAAAUCAAAAUCUGAAACUCUUACUCUGUUAUGGCAUUCAAUUAAAUGGUAUCGUCAUACCAAUAACUUGCAAGUCAUAUCUAUGAGCCAUAAAAUAUCAGGGGAUAGUAUCUUCAUUCUAAACAUAAAGAUUGGAUCACCAUAUCAUUCAAACAGUUCAAGAGAAUUCGUACUUCAAAAUAUAUGUCAAAUUAUGUAAAGAAUCUCUCUUUUCAAUAUUUCAACAAACAUGUGGUGGUCAUGUAUUUUUGACAAACCAUGCAAUUCUUUCAUUAUAUAUCCUCAACAUUUGUCAACAUGUAAAACCUCUCACUCUUCAAUUCAUAAUCAAAACCAAGUCUUAUGCAAUAGUAAAGACGUUUGUAAUAUGCUUCUCAAUAUGGAUUUGAACAAUUCAUAACAUAUGAACACAAGGAGAUUUAAAACAAGAGAGGGAUUAUGAUUUUUCGUGCUCUCAAUUCAAGUUUGAAACAUCAAACCCCAUGCAUACAUAUAUGUAUGAACAAACAUCAAGUUUAUGGGGAAGGCCUCAAGACCAAAACUUAACUAUCAAGAAAGAUUCACAAUGCAUAAUUGUAGUUGAAAUUUCAAUACCCUUUCGUAAAUCCAUGAUUUCUAAACAUUUAAACAUGAUUAAGAUAAUUUCACCAUGCCUAUGCAGUUUAGGAAAACCCCACGUACCUUAGAUUACAGGUUUUUAAAGAGUAGAACUCGAAUCUUGAUUUGUUCUUAAAAAAUCUUGGACUUAAGAAGUGAUAUUCUUGAUUUCUUAUUCUUGUAGGAAACCCUAGUUUGAUCUUAUUUUGAGAGUGAAGAGGAAGUUUUUGAUAUUGUAUAACUGAUAAUGAUUGACUAAUAGCGCUUAUGGGGUGAUUUAAUUCAUGUGAAUGCUUUUUGGAAUGAGGGAAAGACCAAAAAACCCCUAAGGAACCCAAAAAAGUCACAUAAUUGCAUCAGUUGACGACCAGGGUUGAUGGGCUGUCACUCAGGUGAUUGGCCGUCACCCAGGUCAUCACUUUUGGGGUAGUUUUUACCAUUCACUGCCUUAGGCUGAUGACUAGGUAUGACGGCCUGUCACCCAGUUGAUAGGUCGUCAGCCUCGCCGUCAUAUUUUGGCACACAAACACUUCGAAGUAAAAUGAGCAUAACUUUCUACUCUAAUAUCGGAUUAAGGUAAAACUAGUUGAGAGGAAAAAGACUCAAAGAACUUUCAUUUCAUAUAUAGUAGGCCUCCUAAUUUGAUAUAUACAAAAAGUUAUGUUUGAUGGAAAUUGACCAAACUUUAGAGGCUCACUAAAACUCAAUCUAUAGGAAGGCUUUCAACUCUCCUUUGAGUUAAGGGACCUCUAUGAUCUCAAUUCAAGCCCAACUAGAUUCUCACACUACAUAAUUGAUUAAAACACUAAAUUUUCAUGGGAUUUAUUGACUUUUUGAACUAUUAUGCAUCGGAAUGACGAUUUACAUUCUAGCCCAAAAUGCGGGUUGUUAUAUUAUCCCCCCUUGGGAUUAUUUAUCCCCGAAUGAUGACUCGGGACACAACAAGCACUAUUUCAAGAAUUAAAUAGAAUAAAAGAGUAGAAUAGGAUUUGUACCUUCUAAAUCAUCAUCCAUGGCUUCGAAAAGGUUUGGGUACCUCUCACGCAUAUCAUCUUCUGACUCCCAAGUAGCUUCCUCAGCUUUUUGAUUCCUUCACAUCACCUUAACCGAAGCUAUUUCCUUGCUUCUCAACUUCCGAACUUGGCCAUUCAAAAUGGCAAUGGGUUCUUCUUCAUACGACAAGAAUUCUUUCACAUUGAUCUCCUCUACAGGCAACACUAGGGAAUGAUCUUUAAUGCACUUCUUCAACAUAGAAACAUGGAAUACUGGAUGAACAGAAGCCAGACUUGCGGGCAAAUCUAACUCACAGGCAACCCCACCAAUCCUCUUUAAAAUAUGAUACGGUCCUAUGUAACGAGGACUAAGCUUUUCUUUCCUUCCAAAAUGCAUGACUCCCUUUAUAGGGGAGACUUCGAGAAACACCCAAUCACCAACCUCAAAUUGUAAAUCCCUUCUCCUAACAUUGAUAUUGGAUUUCUGAUGACUCUGAGCUAUCUUAAGUUGCUCUCUAAUGAUCUUCACCUUCUCCAUUUCCUGAUGAACAAAAUCAGGCCCGAAUAAUUGGGUUUUACCUACUUCAUACCACCCAAUUAGUGAUCUACAUCUUCUCCCAUAAGGUGCUUCAAAAGGAGACGUGUGAAUACUGGCAUGGUAAGUAUUAUUAUAGGCGAACUCUAUCAAUGGAAAAUGAUCUACCCAACUACCUUUAAAGUCAAUUAUGCAGGCUCUCAACAUAUCCUCAAGGGUCUGAAUGGCGCGUUCAGCUUGCUUAUCAGUCUAAGGGUGGAAGGCAGUGCUCAAGUUCACUUGGGUACCUAAACCUCUCUGGAAAUACUACCAACUGCGAAGAGAAUUGCGUACCUCAAUUAGAUUAAUGGAUAUCAAUGCCCUACGCAGACGAACUAUUUCCUCUAUGUACAGCUUGGUAUAAUAUCUCCCGAUUAGUCAAUUCUCACAAGAAGAAAGUGAGAUGACUUGGUCAUCCGAUCUACGAUCACCCAAAUUGAAUCAUAUUAGUUUUGGGAACUUGGAAGCCCCAUGAUGAAAUCCAUAUUAAUCAUCUCCCACUUCCAUAUAGGCAAGGGUAUCUCUUGAGAAGUUCCACCUGGUCUCAAAUGUUCCACUUUGACUUGUUAACAAUUCAAACACUUAGAAACAAAAGCAGGAACAUCGCGUUUCAUAUUGUUCCACCAAUAAAUUGUCUUAAGAUCAUGAUAAAUUUUUUAGAGCCUGGGUGAACAACAUAUCUCUAAGUGUGAGCCUCGCCAAGAAUUCUUUCCCGUAAUCUAUCCAUAUUUAGCACACACAUCCUACCUUGAUACCUUAAAUCCCAUCACCUCUAAUUUCAAAAGUCAUCACCUUCUGUUGCCCAACAUCUUUCUUAAUCUGCAUCAAGAUGGGGUCUUUAACCUAUUUUUCCUUAACUUCAGAACAUAGGGAAAAUUUAGCUAUCUCAUGAACAAUUAAUCCUCCAUCUUUGGAAUCCAAAAGUCGAACCCCUAGAUUUUUAAGCUGGAGAAUAUCUUUCACCAUCUCUCUUUUCCCUUUCUCAAUAUAUGAAAGACUGCCCAUUGAUAACCUGCUAAGGGCAUCGACUACUAUAUUUUCCUUGCCUGGAUGAUAGUGCAGGCUCAUAUCAUAGUCCUUCAACAAUUUAAACCACCACCUAUGCCUGAGAUUAAGUUCUUUCUAUGAGAAAACAUACUGCAAAUUUUUGUGGUCAGUAAAUAUAUCAACAUGUACACCAUACAAAUAAUGGUGCCAUAUCUUAAAUGCGAACACAACUGCUGCCAACUCCAAGUCAUGGGUGGGGUAAUUUCGCUCGUGCACCUUUAACUGCCUAGAUGCAUAAGCUACCACCUUACCAUGCUACAUAAGUACACAUCCAAGUCCCACCCGGGAUGUAUCACAGUACAUAACAAAAUCCUCUGUACCUUCGAGAAGGGUCAAUACAGGUGCAGUAGUCAACUUGUCCUUCAAUUUCUCAAAGCUAUUCUCACAAGAGUCAGACCACACAAAUUUCACCUUUUUUGUGUCAACCUGGUAAGUGGAGCAUCUAUAGAAGAAAAAUUUUCUACGAACCUUCUGUUAUACCCUGCCAAACCCAAGAAGCUCUGAAUGUCGAUUGGAGUCGUAGGUUUAGGCUAUUUCCUUAUUACCUCAAUCUUUUGGGGAUAAACCUUAAUUAUCUCACUAGACAUAAUAUGCCCCAAGAAAUUAAUAGCACUAAGCCAGAAUUCACACAUGGAAAAUUUUUCAUACAAUUUAUGAUCUUUUAGGUUCUGAAGAAUAAUUUGGAGAUGACUGUCAUGAUUUUCCUCAUUCUUGGAGUGAAAUAAGAUGUCGUUGAUGAAAACUAUGAUGAACAGGUCUAGAAAUUGAUGGAACACCCUAUUCAUAAGGUCUAUGAAAGCACCAGGGGCAUUAGUUAGUUCGAAGGUCAUAACUAAGAACUCAUAAUGGCUAUAUCAGGUUUGAAAAGUUGUUUUGGGAAUAUCAGCCUCCCUAACCUUCAACUAAUGAUACCCCAAAUGAAGGUCUAUUUUUGAGAAAUACUUAGUACUCUAAAGAGUACAGGUACACCCCAGGGAGAAACACUAGGACAGAUAAAGCCCUUGUUAAGAAAAUCUUUUAACUGUUCUUUCAACUCUUUCAAUUCUGCAGGAGCCAUUUUAUAUGGCGGGAUAGAAAUAGAAUGAGUUUCUGGUAAUAAGUCAAUGCCAAAAUCUAUCUCCCUAUUAGGUGGAAUCCCUGGACGAUCAUUAGGAAAAACUUUCAGAAAUACAUUAAUUACAGGAUAGACUGGAGAAGACUUUCAGUAUUUGAAUCUUUUACCCCAAAUAUGAUGAUACAAAUAACCCUUAGAUAUAAGUCUGCGGGCUUUGAGAUAAGAGAUAAACUUCCCUUUAGGCGCUAAAUAAUCCCUCUCAUUCUAUCACUGGCUCAUUUAGAAAGGAGAAAGUGACCUUUCGGGCUCUACAAUCUAGGGUGGCAUAUCACGAAUAAAGCCAAUCCAUUCCCAAAAUAGCAUCAAAGUCAAUCAUAUCAAGAUCUGCAAGAUCUACCACAGUAUCAUGAUUAUAUAUAGACAAAAUAAAAUUUUUAUACACCCUCCUAGCCACAACAGAGUCACCAACAAAAGUAGAUACAAAGAAGGGUUCUAGAAUAUUUUGGGUUCAAAGCCAAAACUGACUACCACAUACGGGGUUACAUAAGACAAAGUAGACCCAGGAUCGUAUAACAAUACACAUUGUGGGAGAAGAUAUGUAACAUACCCAUGACCACAUUUGCUGACACCUCUGUAUCCUGUCCAUUAGUCAGAGCAUAUAACCAAUUGUGUCCGCUCCCGAGCUGAACUAGUACCCUUAGGAGGUGGUAGCACUAAUGAAUUAACUUGGGACUUGGAACCUCCAGCACUAUCUCUUGUAGUCGGGCAAUCCCUUUAGAUAUGGCCUGGCUAUCCACAAGCGUAACACACCAUCAUGACAAAUUGACAUCUUCCUGGGUGGUUCUUUUGGCACAAGCUGCACGGAGGGUACUGUUAUAACAGUCAAGCCACACUCCCCUGGGAUUGAGGACCCUAUACUCCCGAUCCAUGGUUGGGUUGAAAAUUCUAAAACUACCGAUAUACUGGAGGUCUGGGCGCUAGAGCACUGGCUGAAGACUGCGUUUUACCCUAAACGUUUUUCUUCGGCCAUUUGUUACCCCAAUUACCAUUUUGUUACUGACUGUUGUUCUGGUCUACAGAUCUGGCCCUCUUAGUCUGCCUGUCUUUCUUUCGUACUUCAGCAACCCUCUUCUUCUGUUCCUCAACCUAUUGCCCGUGAAUAGAUAAUCUGGAGAAACCCAUAUCUCUGUUCAGCAUUGCCCCUUUGCAUUCCAACACCAAAUCAUCCGAGAGACCAGAUGCAAACUUCUUUAUGCGGGCUCUCAUGUUACCUGCCAAUUCUGGGGCAUAGCGUGAUAAUUGAUUGAACUUCAAGGUGUACUCCUUAACACUCAUCUUCCCUUGCUACAAGUUCAUAAGCUCUUCACCCUUGGAUUCACUCAAUUCCUGGGGAAAGAAUUAGUCCAGAAAAGCCUUCAUGAAAUCGCUCUACAUAGAAGGCUCAACAUUACUACCCUUUGAAUCCUCCCACUCAUUAUACCAUUAAUUUGUCAUAUCCUUUAGUUGAUAGGCUUUUAACUCUACACCUUCAACCUCAUUCAUAUGCAUCACUUUGAAAAUCUUCUCCAACUCAUCAGUGAACCCUUGGGGGUUAUCCUCCACCUUCAUGCCAGUGAAUAUGGGGGGUUUAAGUCUCAUGAAUGGACCAACUCGGGUAAUCUUAGAUGAACCAUAUACAGAACCCACAUCUUCAGACCAAUGAAUCUGAGAGGCUACCAGCUAUGCAAUCAUAUGAAUAGACUAUCUGAACUCAGCAUUUAAAAACUCUCUCUGAGGAGGCAGGGGACGGUUAAUAUUGGCUCGUGGAGCCUGAGGUGGACUGGUCAAAACUGGGGGAACUCCUGGGGUAGGAAUAAACUCUGGGGUACGAGCUCUAUUAAGGGUUCGCAUCCCAUAAGUGGGACAAACAUCUUCAGCCUGAGCACGUUAUUCAUUGAUUCUAUGAGGAGGAAUGGUAACUUUCUAUAACACAAGAUAUCAUUGAUUAGAGGACAUACAGACUCUAUAUCACAAACUAAAUCAUGAAACAAGAGAGACAUUCCUAUAUGCCUUGUAGGUUUCCAAUUAUAAGUGUGGCGCGCUACACACCCAUAAACAGGACUCAACUCGAUGUAAUUUUGUAGACAUCCUAGGACCAUAAACCAUGCUCUGAUACCAAGUUUUUCACAACCCGGGCAGAGGCCCUGGCCGUGAUGGGUAUCCCGAACUAUAAAGGCCCGAGUGCCCCUGUCUAUUUGGCAAUCAUCCACACUACUCAUACAAUAAGAAGAAAAAGUAGAAAGAUUAUAAUACAGAAUCAUGGUCGACAUUAUAAUCAAAUUGACCCAUUUUAAAUGAAAUUCAUAACUCUUUAAGAACAUCUAAUAUUCAGUCUACGAAAUCUCUAAAUACAUCAAAACCAACAUCUUGUCUAAACUGGGAAAAGGCCCCUAGUCAAACCCAAAACAAAAAUGAAAUAACAAUGUUCUAAAAAAAUAGGCCUUCCAAAAUAAAGGAGGCUCACCAACGGCACACUUCUGUCUGGCAAAUCUAUGGCUUAGCGGGACCCCUUGACUGAGCCUCAGACCCUGAAAUAUAGGGGUUAAUACAAUUGUACUGGUAUGCAGAGCAAUCCAAAAUAAAGUAUUUUUAUACAAUAUAUGUAAGAGCAGUUUGUAAAUAAUUUAUAUAUGAUAUAUGAAAAACACAUGGGAAUAUUUCAAAGACAUUGAACAAUAAUUUAAAAUCCAUGACUCACUCUUUAUCUUAAUUUUGAGCUAGGUGGUAUACCCUAUAACUCUACAAUCCCACGGGCUAUAUGGAAUAUAUCCUUAACUCGGCAGCCAAACCCCCAACCCAAGUUUGCCACAAGGGUUGUAGUCUUUAUCUCUAAUACGCCAAAGGGCACUAGGCUAGCGUACGGUCCCACUUGGGGACAUAAUAAACUCGUAUCGGCAAAACACGGUUUUGGGAUAGGAGUUAUCUGAACUUAAGCCUUUUUCGAGCAACCACCUCUCUCUCUUUAAGACCAUUUAUAGCUCUUUAAGACAUGUAUUCUCUCAAAAUAAAAAUCUGAAACUCUUACUCUAUUAUGGCAUUCAUUUAAAUGGUAUCAUCAUACCAAUAACUUGAAAUUUGUAUCUCUAAGCCAUAAAAUAUCAUUGGAUAGUCUCUUCAUUCAAAACACAAAGAUUGGAUCACUAUAUCAUUCAAAUAGUUCAAGAGAAUUUGUACUUCAAAAUAUAUGUCAAAUUAUGCAAAGAAUCUCAUUUUUUAACAUUUCAACAAACAUGUGGUGGUCAUGUAUUUUUGAAAAACCAUGCAAUUCUUUCAUUAUAUAUCGGCAACAUUUGUCAACAUGUAAAACCUCUCUCUCUUUAAUUCAUAAUCAAAACCAAGUCUUAUGUAAUAGUAAAGACGUUUGUAAUAUGCUUCUCAAUAGGGAUUUGAACAAUUCAUAACAUAUGAACACAAGGGGAUUUAAAAUAAGAGAAGGAUUAUGAUUUUUUGUGCUCUCAAUUCAAGUUUCAAACAUCAAACCACAUGAAUAUAUAUAUAUAUAUAUAUGAACAAACAUCAAGUUUAUGGGCAAGACCUCAAGACCAAAACUUUAAUAUUAAGAAAGGUUCACAAUACAUAAUUAUAGUUGAAAUUUCAAUACCCUUUCAUAAAUCAAUGAUUUCUAAAUAUUUAAACAUGAUUAAGAUAAUUUCACCAUGCUCAUUUAUUUUACAAAAACCCCACGUACCUUAGAUUACAGGUUUUUAAAGAGUAGAACUUGAAUCUUGAUUUGUUCCUUGAAAAUCUUAAGCUUAAGGAGUGAUUUUCUUGAUUCCUUAGUCUUGGAGAAAACCCUAGUUUGAUAUUAUUUUGAGAGUGAAAAGGAAGUUUUUGAUGUUGUAUAACUGAUAAUGAUUGAUUAAUAAUGCUUAAGGGGUGAUUUAAUUCGUGUGAAAGGUUUUUGGAAUGAGGGAAAGACCAAAAUAUCCCUAAGGAAUUAAAAAAAAGUUGCAUAAUUGCAUCAGUUGACGACCAGGGUUGAUGGGCCGUCACUCAGGUGAUAAGACGUCACCCAGGUCAUCACUUUUAGGCUAUUUUUCUCCAUUCACUACCUUAGGCUCAGGACUAGGUUGGACGGGCCGUCACCCAGCUGAUAGGUCGUCAGCCUCGUCGUCACAUUUUGGCAGACAGAUACUUCAAAGUAAAAUGAGCAUAAAUUUCUACUCCGAUAUUGGAUUAAGAAAAAAGCCAAUGGAGUUAGAAAGAAGACUCAAAGACCUUUUAUUUCAUAUAUAGUAGGCCUCCUAAUUCUAUAUAGACAAAAAGUUAUGGUCAAUGGAAAUUAACCCAAGUUUAGACUCUCAUUAAAACUCAAUCGAUAGGAAGGCUUUCAACUCGCCUUUGAGUUAAGGGACGUUUAUAAUCUUAAUUCAAGCCCAACUAGAUUUUCACACUACAGAAUUGAUUAACACACCAAAUUUUCAUGGGAUUUAUUGGCUUUUUGAACUAUUACGCAUAGGAAUGACAAUUUACAUUAUAGUUCGAAAUGCGGGUUGUUACAACAUGUUGAUUUGUGGGAGCCCUAUCAUGUAUCCACAAAUGAUCAUUUUAAGUAUUUCAUGACUAUUGUCGAUGACUUUAGUAGGUCAACCUGGACCCAACUUUUGAGCACUAAGAGCAAUGCUCUUCAAGUCUUGAAAGCUUUCACUGCCAUGGUAGAGAACCAGUUUUAUAUCACUAUUAAAACCUUUAGAAAUGAUAAUGGUUUCAAGUUUGUUAACUUAGAAACUACUGCAUUUUUCCAAGUUAAAGAAAUCCUUCACCAGAAAACAUGUUCAUAUACACUACAACAAAAUGGUAUUGUGGAAAGAAAACACAAGUACCUACUUAAAACUGCCAGAGCACUCCUUUUUCAAUCCAAGAUUCCCACCAAGUACUGGGGAGAAUAUGCUUUGUGUGCCACAUACUUUAUAUUGCCUUCCACUAUGUUGCAAAUCAAAUGCGCCUAUGAAAUUUUAUACCGCACAAAACCUCUUUAUUCUCAUAUGAGAAGCUUUGGUUGUCUUUGUUACCCUACUGUUCCCAUACCUCAUAGAGCUAAAUUUGAGCUGAGAACUACUCUUCAUGUUUUUAUUGGUUACCCUUUUGACACUAAGAGCUACACAGUUCUUAAUCUAGCCACAAAAAGAAUACACAUUUCUAGGGAUGUUGUUUUCCAUGAAGAUAUAUUUCCCUUUACUGCAUUAUCUACCACUACAUCAUCUUCUACAAAGUUGCUUCCUUUUAUGUUUAUGGAUGCUUUAAACUCUAAUGAUGAUCUUGACACACCACACAUUUCUACUUCAGUAGUAGCAGUACAUCCAUCUGCCAGUAGUCUAUCCCAUUGUCCUGUCAUAUCACCUGGCGUUGAUGUACCACCUAAAAAACCUGUUAAUCUCUCUGAUGGUGUUUACUACAUAGAGCCUGGAAGGUUCACUAGAAGUAUCCAAACUCCUACUCAUAUGUCUGAUUACAUCUAUUAUAUUCCUAAUCUUAAGUCACCUGCCCAUCAUUCAACUAACUUGUCUUCUACUUCUCUUAGUUCACUUUUUUCCAAUCAUCAACGCAUGGAUCAUAAUGAACUAAUUUCUAAUAGUCAAUAUCUUGUAAGAAAUAUUUGCAUUGAUAUGGAACCAACUUCUUACAUAGAGACAACUAUUAACCCUGCAUGGCAGUUGGCCAUGACCUAAGAAUUUGAUGAUAACACUUAAGAUCUAGUUCCAUUACCUCUUGGAAAGAAAACCAUAGGAUGCAGGUGGGUAUAUAAAAUAAAACAUAGAGCAGAUGGUAGUAUUUAGAGGCUAAAGGCUAGGCUUGUUGUUAAAGAGUACACAUAAUAAGCUGGCAUUGACUAUACAGAAACAUUUUCUCUUGUGGUCAAGAUAACCACAAUUAGAGCUUUAUUAAUCACAACAGUCAAAAAGGGGUGGCCAAUGUACCAGUUAGAUGUUAAUAAUGCAUUUCACCAUGGAGAUUUGCAUAAGGAGAUGUAUAUGGAGGUUCUACCUUGACUUCAAGUACUAGCCCCUAAUCUAGUAUGUUGAUUGAAUAAGUCUCUUUAUGGACUUAAAUAGGCCAGUAGGCAGCGUUAUGUAAAAUUAACUGAAGCUCUAUGCUCAAGAGGCUACUGUAACACUUCGUAUUUUCCUAGCAAAAUCUGAGUCCUAAUACAUAAGUAUUCGUACAUGAAAUUUUUGAAACACUCAUUAUUUUUUAUUUUAGAGCCUGCCAUUGCAUUGGAAAUUCAAUUAGCUUUACAAUGAUAUAAAAUUUGCCCAAAUUCGAUAAUCGGCUAAGAAGUUAUGGUGAUUUUAAGUUUCAAUUGUUAAACACCGUCAUUUUAACCCUCAGCGCAUCACGUAGGUAGCCCAAAUGACAAUUUUCAAUUUCUAGUGAUACUCCACAAUCAUGGUGCAUCGUGGAGCAGGCCAAAAUAGCAUCCAAAGUUUUACUGCGAUGGCACCGCGGCACAAUGUUUGUCCAGGUCCCAGUUAUCCAUUUUCCAGCGUCUUGAUGCCACAGUGGCGCAUUGCCCAAGGCUAAUAAUUAUUUUUUUAGUUUUUAGCUUCCAUUAUUAAAUUCGUCCAAGGGUAAUUGGGUCUUCUUCCACGGCCCUAACUAACCUAAAACAUGAAAUUUAGCCUCAAUUGACCUAAAUAGUCAUUUAUUAUUCACCUCUUCUUCAAAAUUGAAGAUCCUCUUUUCAAAAACUAGAACCCUAGCUCUUAAGAAUCAAGGUCAAAUCUCAAGAACUCUCCAUCAAUCCUUCCAAAUUCAUUAUCCCAGGUAUGUUAGAUGUUCAACCAGGGAUUUCUUUUAUCCAUGGAACUCAAUUAACCUUUUAAUUAUAAAGUUGUAAUCUUUUUAAGUUAUUUGAUUUCAAAUCAUGAUUUCAUCCAUUAAUAUCUAUGAACUUUUAUUUAAUACCAUUUUUUUAAUGAAGUUAUUAUUGUUAUUCGAUUUAUCAUGUUUUAAUGUUAUCAUUUGUUGAUUUAAAUCAUGAUUUAGUUUUUUUUAUGAUAAUUUCAUGUCAAUUAUGUCGGUCCUUUAGUAAUUCUAUGAUUAUUUUAAACCAUGAACUAUAAGUGUUUGAUAAAAUUCCUACAAGAGCAAUUGUUUUAAUAAGAGUCUUCAUGCUAUGUCCUUUAAUGUUUUAAUGUCAUGCUACUACUAUUAUUUUGAGUCCUGGGAGUAUUGAAUAGCCAAAAUCAUAGUUGUUUACUUAAUGUUGUCUCGAUAUCUUCAAAAUAACUUCAGAUUAUACUAUGAACGUUAUCAGAAUAGUCAGUUAAACUCAGAAAAGUCUAGUGUUUCAGUGUUAUUUAGUUGGGAGUAGGAUUUAGCACCGAGCGAGUGUAGGGGUGGCGGCUUCCCCGUCAGAUAGGCAGAGUCGUUAGUAGCAGUACCUAUACUCCGAAACUACGUAGCCAGCAUAGGAUAUGAGUAGUCACCCAUCAGAUUAAGCUUGACUAUCUUACAGGGGCCACCCGUCAGUUCAAGCUGGACACCCUUAGUCCUUUGGAUAUGAUAUUAGUUUAGUGGAUCCACACAGCCAUUGUUAGUACCCAUGGCAUGGUAUUAACACCCUUCCAACUGGGGUUACAGAUUGGACCCUGAUUAGCUCAAAUUGGGGAAUGUUAGUUAGAUGAUACCUCCCACAGUCUUAGAUAUAGUCUCAGCUAUAAUCCCAGCUCAGUUAUUCAGUCUUAGUGUUGUUUGACCAAAUCAUACAAUUUCAGUUAUUUUUAGUAUUUUAGUUUGUAGAUUUCAUCCAGUUCAUGUCAUGUGCUUGGUCAUGCAUCCUCAGUGUCUACAGAUUUUUAUGUAUUUUCAAUAUUUUACAAACUUUCAUGCAUGUUAAGUAUUUACAGAUUUCAUGUGCUCUAUUCAGUAUUCCAUGUUUUACAUGUAUAUUCAGAUAGAUCAUUACUCCUAUUCAUGAAACCCUGUAUGUUAACCUACCUCAUUUAGCAUACCAGUAUAUUUAAAGUACUGAUCGCAUACCUCUCUUUUGCACUAUGAUGACUCAUAUCAUAGGUGCUGACGCUCAGUUCCUGAAUCUCACUUAGUCCCUCGGAUUCUCAGCAUUACAGUAACAGUGGUGAGUCUUUAUCACCCGACGAUAGGCUAUCUAAUUUCAUGUCUUUAUUUCAAUAGUCAGUAGAGUUAGUUGGGGGCUUGUCUUAUCAACUCUCAGUCAAUUAGUAUUAGAGGCUUUUCAGACAUUAUAGUCAGUUAGUUGUUUAUUUUAUCAGUACUUUAUCAGAUUUAGACAGUCGGUUUACUAGAUUUAUAUUUCAAUUUGAAUUCAGAUAUUUAAGACCUUAUGGCACUUCAGUUAUUCUUUAGCAUUCAUGAUUAUAAUAUUAAGUGCUCACAGUAGGUACCAGCUUAUGGGUUAUCUUGUGGUUUCUCGAGACCAUAAGCACCGUGUAAUGACUAGGGGGCAGUCUCGAGUCAUUAUAGCUACACUCAUUCUAUGUAUGACUAUUCCUUGUUCUAUAAAAAGAAUGGUCAUUCUAAAUUUAUGUGGUUUUUUAUGUUGAUGAUGUGCUACUUAAUGGUAUAGACAUAACUAAGAUAACUAGUUUGAAGGCUUACCUAGAUGACAGGUUUAAGAUUAAAGACUUGGGAACACUUCAUUACUUCUUGGGCAUGGAAAUUCUUCACACCCAGGAAGGGGUUAUUAUUUCUCAAAGAAAAUUUGUUCUUGAUUUGCUCAAGGAGUAUGAUUGGCUUCAUCAGAACCCCUUAACAUCUCCACUUGAUCCUAAUGUUAAGUUAAAGGCUCAUGAAGGUGAUGCCCUAAGUGACAGUACUUACUACAGAAAACUAGUUGGAAAGACCAAUUUUUUCACAAAUGCAAAACCUGACAUUGCAUUUGGUGUCCAACUCCUGAGUUAGUUUAUGCAAGAUCCUAGACAACUACAUCUCUAAGCUGCACUUCAUCUUUUCAGGUAUCUUAAAUCUAAUCUUACUUUGGGUAUGUUUAAUUCUAAAGAUGCAGACUUCACUGUCAAGGGUUAUUGUGACUCAGAUUGGGACUCAUGCCCUGACUCUAGAAAAUCAGUGAGUGGGUUCGUGGUAUUGCUUGGUGGUAGUCCCCUCAUCUUGAAGUCUAAGAAAUAGGAGACCAUCACCCUUUCUUCAGUUGAAGCUGAAUAUAGAUCUCGUAGGAAAGUUAUGGGAGAGUUGGUAUGGUUGAGUAGGUUACUUGAAGAGUUUCUUGUUCCAUUUUCCAAAACCUAUCUUAGUGUUUUGUGAUAGUCAAUCUGCCCUACACAUAGCCAGGAAUCCUGUAUUCCAUGAGAGAACUAAACAUAUUAAGGGGGAUUGUCAUUAUGUAAGAUAAAUUUUACAACAAGGCAUUAUAUCUCUGCAUCACAUUGCAACCCAAGAUUAACUAGCAGGCAUCCUGACUAAGGCAUUAACUGGGAUCAAACACUCUUCUAUUCUUAACAAGUUAGCAGUGCUCUCUAUACCUUCAACUUGAGGGGGGUAUUGAGAUCCCAUCCAACUGCCAUCCAGCUGGCAUAGUAGUUAGUUAGUAGUAGUUGUUAUGUUUCUGUACAGUUAGUUAGUGGAGAGUUUAAGCCUCUGUUUAUCUUAGCCAGAUUAGAGUAGAUAUUUUUGCUUCUUUACUUUUUCUGUAUAAAUACACACAUAUGCAAUACACUACAGUUAAGCUUUGCUCUUUACACAUUUUGACAGUUUCCUCUUUGCUCUAAUUAUUGAGCUCCAUUUUUAAGACCUCCAUUGCAGCAGUUGCCUGAUCUCAAGGCACUGCAUUCUCUACAUCUUAAUAGAAGAACAUAAAUAAAACUUUAAAUAAUGUAGCAUUAGUUAAGGAAUACACGUCUGAGAAAACGGAUGUCAUCGAUGCUGGUGUUGCUGGUUCUGCUUUGGCAUGCACUCUUGCCAAGGUACAUUUGCAAGUUUUUAUUCAUCUUAUUUUUUUAUAUGCCUUAUAAAUAUUUUGAUUGUCAUUUUCCUUUUUUGGAAAUAAAGUUUUCAUGUUUGAAUUUACAGUCAAAAUUGAAAAGUUUGACUCUCGAAAUUCAAAUCAUGUUACAUAAAUUUAGAUGAAAAAAUAUACAAUCUAUUAAGAUGCACUUGCAAAGUAAGAAAAAAAAUUUGAACGCUACCAGUAUAAACUGUUCUAGUUAUGUACAAUAAUUUGUAGGAUGGCUGACAAGUUCACGUGAUAGAGAGGAAUUUGAGUGAACCAAAUAGAAUAGUUGGUGGACUUCUACAUGUUGGCUAUCUCAAAUUAUUUGACUUAGGUCUUGAAGUUAUGAUCGUAUAAGCAGAUAAUAUAUACUCUUUUCAUUUUAAUUUAUUAGUCUAGUUUUGGCUUGACAUGAAAUUUUAAAAAUAAGAAGACUUUUGAAUGUAAUGGUCUUCAAACUAAAGAUAUGAAGAAUACACAAAUUAAGACGACUUCAUCAUGAAGAUCAUUUUGUUCAAAAUUUCAAAUCAUAUUUUGCGAAAUCGUUUUUUAUAUUUUCUCAUGAAACAAAAAAGAUUGAGAAAAUCUUCAUCAGCAAACUCUCAAAAAAUACAAAGAUCCGAGAAAAAACAAAAGUCAAAGGAAAUAGGAGAAUCAAGUUAAAUUUCAAGUCUUGUUGGUCAAAAUUCUUCUGAAUAUGAUUCGGAAGAAGAUAAAGUCGAAGAGGUAUUUGUAUUUGUAUUAGUAUUAUAUUAGCUUAUGGAUCAUGUACAUGUAUUUCUAUUUUUGAUAUACAUAUGAAUCUGUACAUGUAUUUUUUACACAUGUUGAGUUUGUCUCUAGACUUUUCUACAUCUUUUUUAGAGGUAACUUAUGUAUUUUUUUGUAUUUUGUAAUAUUUAAGAUAUGCAUUCAUUUUUUUUUAUGAUGAGUUACACUUGUAUUUCGCAAAUACAUAUGAAGAUGUAUAGUAUAUGUAUAUUUGUUACUGUUUAAGAUAUGUUUCUAUAUAUAUAUUUUUUAAUAUGAGUCUGACAUGUAUUUCGCACACACAUAUGAACAUAUAUAUGUAUUUUUUAUAUGGUAAUAUAUAUGGAUCAGAUAUGUCUUCUGUAAAUACAUAUGCAGGGAUAUAUGUAUUUUUUGUUAUGUAAUAUGUAUUUUGUAAGAAAACGUAUGUAGACUAUGUAUUUUGUAUUGAUCUUGACAACCAUUCAAAUUACAAUGAUAAAGAUAAGUUAAAGCUUUUUGAUGUGUGUUAUGCGAAGGAUUUGCCUCAACAACCUAGUGACAACUUUUUAGUACUGUAAUAUACAUAUAAAAAAAAUAUUUGUAAGUCUAUUUAGAAUGCAUACUAAUUUAUUAUUUUAUGUAUUUACAGAAAUUAUGGAUUGUAUAUGGUGACAUAUGUUGAGUACCUUAUUUAUGGUGAAGGUGUUCCUUCAGUUGACUCAAGUCUGACUUGCUUCACACAAGAUAUGCUUCAAUUAUGUGGGAUUAAGGUUUGAGAAAAUAAGAAGGUGAUGCACAAAGUGACGACGAAGCACCAAUGAAAUUUGUUAGAAAAAUCAGGAUAACAAAAGAUACCGAAGUCCUUGAAGUUUGAUGCUUUUUUUUGUAUUUUGUAUUUCACAACAUAUAACUAUAGAAUGACAGUGAUAUAGUUGAAUAGUUGUUAAGUUUAACUUACUUUAAGGUUGCAU
rnacentral:lncRNA from 1 species